rnacentral:rRNA from 1 species
UACGGGAGGCAGCAGUGGGGAAUAUUGCACAAUGGGCGCAAGCCUGAUGCAGCCAUGCCGCGUGUAUGAAGAAGGCCUUCGGGUUGUAAAGUACUUUCAGCGGGGAGGAAGGCGGUGGAGUUAAUAGCUUCACCGAUUGACGUUACCCGCAGAAGAAGCACCGGCUAACUCCGUGCCAGCAGCCGCGGUAAUACGGAGGGUGCAAGCGUUAAUCGGAAUUACUGGGCGUAAAAGCGCACGCAGGCGGUCUGUCAAGUCGGAUGUGAAAUCCCCGGGCUUAACCUGGGAACUGCAUUCGAAACUGGCAGGCUAGAGUCUUGUAGAGGGGGUAGAAUUCCAGGUGUAGCGGUGAAAUGCGUAGAGAUCUGGAGGAAUACCGGUGGCGAAGGCGGCCCCUGGGACAAAGACUGACGCUCAGGUGCGAAAGCGUGGGGAGCGAAACAGGAUUAGGAUACC